rnacentral:lncRNA from 1 species
UCCUAUUUACUAAAUUCUCUUGUUUAAUACAGGCCCCUUCUCUGAAGAGGCCACUGGAGAUUGGUAAAUUGGAUGAUGGUCUCUACAGGCUUGUACAAUCCUCUUCUCUUAAAUCUCUUGAUCCUUGUAAAUACCAUGCUCCAUUACCUAUUGUUUCUGUUUUUUCUUCUCAUUGUACAUACCAUCCUGAAUUGAAUAAAAUGGAGAUGUUAUGGCAUAACAGACUAGGGCAUAUACCUUUUGUUAGGAUGAAAGACAUGCCUUCUAUACCAUGUAAAUUUUCCACAAAGCAACCUUUUAUCUGUACUAUAUGUCCUUUGUCCAGGCAAUCUACACUACCCUUUCCUGACAGUUCAAUCAAAACAACACAUGCUUUUCAACUAAUCCAUGUUGAUACAUGGGAUCCCUAUGCCACUUCUACUCAUAAUGGUUGUAGAUAUUUUUUAACAAUUGUUGAUGAUUUUACUAGAGCUACUUGGACCCACCUUAUGGGGUCCAAGAGCAAUUGAAGUAGGAAAAAGGAAGUUGAUGAUUUUACCAGAGCUACUUGGACCCACCUUAUGAGGUCCAAGAGCAAUGCCUUUCCCCCAAUUAAAGCCUUCAUUGCCAUGGUUAAAACUCAAUUCCAGUCUGUGGUACAAACCAUUAUGAGUGAUAAUGCAUUUGAACUUGGUUCUAGUGGCUGUGGCAGCAACUUCUUUGCUGAACAUGGCAUAAUCCAUCAAACUUCUUGCUCUCACACACCCCAACAAAAUGGUGUUGUUGAGAGAAAGCAUAGAUAUCUGCUAGAAACCUCAAGAGCUCUUCUCUUUCAUUCUCAACUACCCC